UGCCUUGAUGAGUCUAAAUUCAAAUGAGAUC
rnacentral:piRNA from 1 species